rnacentral:rRNA from 1 species
UGGGGAAUUUUGGACAAUGGGGGCAACUCUGAACCAGCCAUGCCGCGUGCAGGAAGAAGGCCCUAUGGGUCGUAAACUGCUUUUGAACAAGAGAAAACCCCGGUACGUGUACUGGGUUGAUAGUAUUGUUAGAAUAAGCAUCGGCUAACUUCGUGCCAGCAGCCGCGGUAAGACGAAGGAUGCAAGCGUUAUCCGGAUUCAUUGGGUUUAAAGGGUGCGUAGGCGGACUGAUAAGUCAGUGGUGAAAUCUCUCGGCUUAACCGAGAAACUGCCAUUGAUACUGUUAGUCUAGAGUACAGAUGAUGUGGGCGGAAUAUGACAUGUAGUGGUGAAAUACUUAGAUAUGUCAUAGAACACCGAUUGCGAAGGCAGCUCACAAAACUGUAACUGACGCUGAGGCACGAAAGUGCGGGGAUCAAACAGGAUUAGAUACCCUCGUAGUCCCUGAGCGGGCUGGCAAGGCGCAU